rnacentral:rRNA from 1 species
GUUUGAUCCUGGCUCAGGACGAACGCUGGCGGCGUGCCUAAUGCAUGCAAGUCGAACGCACUGCCUUCGGGCAGUGAGUGGCGCACGGCUGAGGAACACGUGGGAAUCUGCCCGACCGUGGGGGAUAACACGCCGAAAGGCGUGCUAAGCCCGCAUACGCUCGCGAGAGGAAAGCGGCAACGCGCGGUCGGAGGAGCCUGCGGCCCAUCAGGUAGUCGGCGGGGUAACGGCCCACCGAGCCCGGUGACGGGUAGCUGGUCUGUGAGGACAGACAGCCAGACUGGGACUGAGACACGGCCCAGACUCCUACGGGAGGCAGCAGCAAGGAAUUUUCGGCAAUGGGCGCAAGCCUGACCGAGCAACGCCGCGUGGAGGACGACGGCCUGGUGUAACUCCUUGUCGGGGUACGGACGAUCGACUGUA